rnacentral:rRNA from 1 species
UAUUUAUUAGAUAAAAAACCAACGCCCUUCGGGGCUCCUUGGUGAAUCAUAAUAACUUAACGAAUCGCAUGGCCUUGCGCCGGCGAUGGUUCAUUCAAAUUUCUGCCCUAUCAACUUUCGAUGGUAGGAUAGUGGCCUACCAUGGUGGCAACGGGUAACGGGGAAUUAGGGUUCGAUUCCGGAGAGGGAGCCUGAGAAACGGCUACCACAUCCAAGGAAGGCAGCAGGCGCGCAAAUUACCCAAUCCCGAUACGGGGAGGUAGUGACAAUAAAUACUGAUACGGGGCUCUUUUGGGUCUCGUAGUUGGAAUGAGAACAAUUUAAAUCCCUUAACGAGGAACAAUUGGAGGGCAAGUCUGGUGCCAGCAGCCGCGGUAAUUCCAGCUCCAAUAGCGUAUAUUAAAGUUGUUGCAGUUAAAAAGCUCGUAGUUGAACCUUGGGUCUGGCUGGCCGGUCCGCCUCACCGCGAGUACUGGUCCGGCUGGACCUUUCCUUCUGGGGAACCUCAUGGCCUUCACUGGCUGUGGGGGGAACCAGGACUUUUACUGUGAAAAAAUUAGAGUGUUCAAAGCAGGC